rnacentral:lncRNA from 1 species
CAGAGAUGAACGUCCAAGUUUCAUUCCUUUUGAAACUAGAACUGCUCCUAGAGGAUUGUCGGCAUCUGUGGUCAUCACUGCUUAUCAAAGGGCCUCCCAACGGACAUGUGCAUAAGCUUGCUCAAGUGAGGGAAAUGGUUUCAUCUGUAAAAUACUUGCCCUGAUGUUAUCGAGCCUAUCAUCAAGGCCAUCCAAAAAGGUAUAAACUCGAUCCUCUUGCACCAAUUUAUUGUAAUUGUGGAUGUCUUUGGAGCAAACCAUUGGAUUGGGACAGCGAUAAUUGAUUUCACGCCACAACCGUUGUAAAGCCGUGUAGUAUUUCUCAAUGGAGCUGCCUGUUUGUCUCAACCGUGCCACUCUUCGCCGAAGUUCAUAUACUUGUGAAGUGUCAUUCCCAUCAAAAAAGGUAGUUGCAAUUGCAUCUCAAACUUCAUGUGCAGUGGAGAACCGGAUGAAGUUGCCAAUGAGAGAGUGGUCCAAUGAGUUUAAGAUCCAGCCUUUGACAAUGGCGUUUUCCAUGCGCCACCUACGAAAGGUUGGAUCGGUCAGUGGUGGAGUAGGCAUAUCUCCAUUCAGGUAGCCAAGUUUAUCUUUUCCAGCAAUAUUCAUCUCUAUAACCUAAGACCAUAGGGCGUAGUUGGAACCGUCCAAUUUGAUGCCGAUUUGAGGUGAAGAUUUAGUAGUUGAGGUUGGUGUCUAUGCUUUGUUCAAAGCUUCAGUCAUCUUUGUUGUAAAUUCUAGGAAGAGAGUGUUGGUUUCGGGUGGUAGGUGGCUGGGACUCUCAAAAUCAUUAGUGGCUUCCAUGUGUUUGAAUAAAUGCUCAAGAAAGCACGGCUAGAACAAAACAGAGGCUGCUGGAUUUAGUACCAUGCUCUGAUACCAUGAAGGAUUAUAUUCUUUUCUUCAUUGAUUUACAAUAAUUAUGGUACAGUUAAAAUAGGAGAGAAUUUAAAUCUAUUUUGG